rnacentral:rRNA from 1 species
GCAGGCCUACACAUGCAAGUCGAGCGGCAGCGACUUAACUGAACCUUCGGGGAACGUUAAGGGCGGCGAGCGGCGGACGGGUGAGUAAUGCCUGGGAAUAUGCCCUGAUGUGGGGGAUAACUAUUGGAAACGAUAGCUAAUACCGCAUAAUCUCUUCGGAGCAAAGAGGGGGACCUUCGGGCCUCUCGCGUCAGGAUUAGCCCAGGUGGGAUUAGCUUGUUGGUGAGGUAAUGGCUCACCAAGGCAACGAUCCCUAGCUGGUCUGAGAGGAUGAUCAGCCACACUGGAACUGAGACACGGUCCAGACUCCUACGGGAGGCAGCAGUGGGGAAUAUUGCACAAUGGGGGAAACCCUGAUGCAGCCAUGCCGCGUGUGUGAAGAAGGCCUUCGGGUUGUAAAGCACUUUCAGUAGGGAGGAAGGUAGUGUAGUUAACACCUGCAUUAUUUGACGUUACCUACAGAAGAAGCACCGGCUAACUCCGUGCCAGCAGCCGCGAGUAAUACGGAGGGUGCGAGCGUUAAUCGGAAUUACUGGGCGUAAAGCGCAUGCAGGCGGCCUGUUAAGUCAGAUGUGAAAGC